UAAUCACUUGUCCUUUAAAUGAAGACCUGUAUGAAUGGCAAGACGAGGGCUUAACUGUCUCCUUUUUCUAGUCAAUGAAGUUGAUCUUCCCGUGCAGAAGCGGGAAUGACCCCAUAAGACGAGAAGACCCUGUGGAGCUUUAGACACUAAAUCAGUCCCUGUCAAACACCCCUACCUAAAGGGCCGAACCUAUGGAAACUCUGAUCGGAUGUCUUCGGUUGGGGCGACCCCGGGGAAAGAAAAAACCCCCGCGUGGAAUGGAAGUACUAUACUCCUAAAACUAAGAGCCACCACUCAAAGUAUCAGAAAUUCUGACCAACUACGUGAUCCGGCUUAACGCCGAUCAACGGACCAAGUUACCCCAGGGAUAACAGCGCAAUCNUCUUUUAGAGCCCA
rnacentral:rRNA from 1 species